GAUUGCAUGUGUUGAUUUCAAGUGCAUUGAUCUUCAACUCAUUUUCAGGUGAACUGAUUGGGGUCGAGUACCUUUACCAUCAGACUGGCAAAGCAAUCCAGGACAGUAGAUUUAUCAUUAGACAGAUGGAAACCACUGACGUCCAAAUGGCUAAAAAUGAGGGCUGCUGCAAACUAGAGGACAUUGGGGAUUGGACAAUCGCACAUCAACCCAUAGAAGCUUCUCCAUCGAUGACAAGCCGAGGUGCUCCGUUUAAGGGGGAAGAUCUCUUUCCUCCAAUCACAUCCUCACCGGCGACAGGAGUGACGGCUCCAGAGAAGGUUCCUUUCAUAAAAGAAGAGGAUCAUAUGGAGUACAAUUGCGAUGACAAGCCUCUCAUUUCAAACUUGCCUCCAGACACUGUGAUGGAAAACAGCAACACAACACAAGAAGAAGCCUCAACAGAACAACCUGCUCUUGCUCAAGCCCAGUCAGGCUCAACGUUGACUUUGCCAGUUUUGUUUUCCAGCCCUUUUCUGUCAAAACAAAUGAUUGUGGUUUUAACACCUGCACAAAAGAUUGAUGCACCAGCAACAGCGAGCUGCCAUUCGGUUCCUGCUCCUUACACCACACAGUACCACUGGAAGAGAAAACUGGUCAAGGAAAAAGAUGGCAUUUGUACCAGGAAGUAUGUGCGACGAUCAGAGGCUAUCCAGUGCAGAAAGUGCAAUAAAGAGAGAAUAAUGUCAACUCAUCGGCAGUAUUUUGGCAACUGGCAUUGUGAGGAGACCGAAACAAAACCCUUUGCUGUGUGGAAGGCUGAACUGAUAAAGCGGGGUUAUGGAAAGAAGAAGUUCUGAAGGGUUCAGGUGGAAUCAGUAAUAAACAUCCAGCUCUUUUUGUUUUAAUUGUUCCCACUAGUUGUAUGUAUUGAAAUGUUUGAUUUUUGGUGCUUCUAAUCAAAACAUAAUUGCAGCGCUGCAGUCAAAUCAUCCGUGGCAGUGGACCUGAACUGUUUUCUCCAUAUUACUCAACACUUCUGCAAUUCAUAAUUAGUUUCAGGCAAAAAUAUUAUUUUUAUUUAUGCUUAAGGUCUA
rnacentral:lncRNA from 1 species